UGGAGCUUCUGGAGCAGAAAAACAAGGUGCUGCUGGAGGAGAACAGACAGCUUCAGCAGCAGCUGGAGACUGUGGAAAGAAAGCUGAAGGAGUCUGUGAGUCAGAACGAUGAUCUGAAAGCCCUCAGCAACCAGCUGGAACUGAAAACCAGCAGCUACACCCUGCAGGUCCAAAAGCUCCAGGAGUCUCUGGAUGAUGCUCACAAACAGAUGCUGAAGGCCAGAAGUGAUGCUGAGGAACAAGAUCGCUCAGCUGCAGCCACCAUCUGUCAACU